rnacentral:rRNA from 1 species
AUGCUGUACGAGGCCGGCCGGCUCGUCGGCUGCCACUACUGCCAACUGCCCAACGUCACGGACCUCACGCCGCGGUACGCACUGCGCAUGGCCACGAGGGCCGCGCUGCGGGCGCUGUCCGGCGCCGACGGCCGGUUCCGCGGCACGGCGCUGCUGCGCACAGUGGACCCGUCGCAGUACGAGGGCGGGCAGUGGAACAGCGAGGACGGGAACUGCGUGCGGACGGCGCCGUCCCGGCGCGGCGAGAGGAGGGUCGAGGGCUUCGAGCGCGACUUCCGCGAGCUGCAGCGGGAGGAGUUUGCGGCGGCGGCGGAGAGGGCGGCGGCCACGGGCAAUGUCAGGAUGAUGCUGAUGGACACGACGGAGGCGAUGAUACUGCGGGCCGACGCGCAUCCCAGCAAGUACCGGGGCUGGACGCCGGAGAAGCACUUCACCCUGUACAACGACUGCGUGCACUGGUGCCUGCCGGGGGCCAUCGAUACCUGGAACGACAUGCUGCUCCAUAUGCUCAACUCUACAUAA